GACGAACGCUGGCGGCGUGCUUAACACAUGCAAGUCGAACGGAAAGGCCCUGCUUUUGUGGGGUGCUCGAGUGGCGAACGGGUGAGUAACACGUGAGUAACCUGCCCCUGACUUUGGGAUAACUUCAGGAAACUGGGGCUAAUACCGGAUAGGAGCUCCUGCUGCAUGGUGGGGGUUGGAAAGUUUCGGCGGUUGGGGAUGGACUCGCGGCUUAUCAGCUUGUUGGUGGGGUAGUGGCUUACCAAGGCUUUGACGGGUAGCCGGCCUGAGAGGGUGACCGGCCACAUUGGGACUGAGAUACGGCCCAGACUCCUACGGGAGGCAGCGGUGAGGAAUAUUGCACGAUGGGCGGAAGCAUGGUGCAGCAACGCCGCGUGCGGGAUGACGGCCUUCGGGUUGUAAACCGCUUUCGCCUGUGACGAAGCGUGAGUGACGGUAAUGGGUAAAGAAGCACCGGCCAACUACGUG
rnacentral:rRNA from 1 species